rnacentral:lncRNA from 9 species
UGCUCAUCAGCUGCCUACUUUCCUGGCAGUGCCCUGGCUUCUCAAUGCCCCCUGUUACCAAAAAUUUAUGCCCCUGGGGUGACCCAGCUGACAUGCAAAUUCAGACCUGAUUUCUGCGGCUGAGAUGGUGGAACGCCUGACUCUCCCAGGAGUGUGUGCUGAAAGCAGAACCUGAAGCCUAGCAGUGGAAUUCCAGACACUGCGGCAGGUUCAUGGGGACACAGCUGAAGAUAUAAGGAUGGCUUGAUAGUCCUCAAGUCAGCUGGGCUGAAAGAAAAAUUGGAAGGAUAAAUCAGAGCUAAUGAAAAUCGAUACUGAAAGGGACUGCACAAAAGGGGUGAAGGAGGGAGAAGGAAGGGCAGAGCUCAGCUCAUUGGAUCUGCCAGGCCAGGAGGGAGGACGUAGCUUCAGGAAGCUCCUGGCAUGUCUCGGGGAUCACCUUCCAACCCUCCCAGAGGGGGCUCACUGCCUUCCUGAGGACAAGCUCUAAGAAACUCAGCUUGAGGCCCCAGGGCCCAGCAUUCAGCAGGUGCUCAAUGAAUGUCUGCAUGAGUAGACUACACCCAAAGUGCCCAUUAGGUACCCAGGUGUGGGUAGUACAGGCUGGGCACUGACACCGAGCCGGCGAAAGGGAACCACUGAACCGACCAUUGACUUGGGGCUUCAGCAGAGCGAGCAGGUAAGUGCAGACCCAGCCCACUAAUUGGGAAAAGGAGAAGGGCUGGCCAUGCUGGGAUCCCCGUUCCCACCGCAUCCCUUCUAGCUCCUCCCCCCACCCACAGACACUCUGUCCUAUAAAGGAGGUUUUUCUCAAAGUGGUUUAGCCAGAACUGGAAGGACCUUGUCCUGUGAUGGGAUAGGAGGAGCCUGACUGUUGCCCCAACAGCAUUCACCAUGGACCUCAGGUGUUCUGGAGCUAGAUGGUGAAGUAUGGGCGUGCUUUAUUCAGUUGUGCAUGACUUAAAAGUUUAGUUUGCUUCUUCUAAGUUGCCGAAAUUCCUGAGAACUCAGGUAAGCAAAAAGAAGACAACAAAAAAGCUCUCAAAUCCUACCCUUUUAGAGAAAACACCAGUUAAAUGUGGUUGUCUGCCCUUCUAUGUAGGGAUGGAUGUGGUGUAGACAUUUUGAUUAAAACCAGGUGUGGGUGACGCUGCCAAGGCUUUGUUUGAGGGGCCUGAGAGCAAGGAAGAGAUUUUGAGAGAAGGGGACCCACAGAGCACGCCAAGGAGCAAUGGGGGCACCUGGGGUGAGGGUGACCGAGUGGAUUUUACCACGGGACAACCGAUGCUCUUGGGAGACUCCCAGAUUAACCCAAAUCCAAACAUAAACGGAGGCCUCGCUGGCUAGACCCUUCCCCCUCCUCUGGACCCCUGCCAGGAAGGUGGGAACCUCUUCCCAGCCCCUUCCUCCCUCAGGCCCUUCCCAUCAGGCCCUGCUCCAAGCCAUAGGGCAUCCCCAACUCUGUUGCCAGGCUUCUGUCACGUGGCGCCGCACUGCCCAUUAACUGCUGUGUAAAACUGAUAACUGUGAUCCAGAGGUUUCUGGACUCCUGGAGCCCCAAGUCAAAGGCUCAGUUUAGCUCCCUCUGGCCUUAAGGCCUCAGAUAAAUGGUCGGGAGCGAUAAAGAGAACAAAACCUGCCAACAGGACUUGUUCCAGGAGAUAAAAGGAGCAGUUACCAGCUGUGGCAAGCUAGGAUUUCCUCCAGACGCCCAUUCUCAAGAAGAGCGGCUUCCAGGGGAGUUCCCUUGUGGCAUAGUGGGUAAAGGAUCUAGCAAGUCAUUGCUGUGGCUCAGGUUUGCUCCCUGGCUCCGGGCACAGUCAAAAAAAAAAAAAAAAAAAAGAGUGGCUUCUACAUUCUUUUUAAGGACAGAAGUGUUGUAAACUACAAGUGUAUGUGGAAGCCUGAACUGGGAGCGGGGCUGAGGUGGAGCCACUCAGGGCAGGCAAGGACGGGCGCCCACUCGCUCAGACCUCUCCUCUCUCUUUGCUCCUCCCCUCGUGAUGCACCUCUGAGCAACACAGUUUAGAGAAUUCUCCUUGUGCCAAAGCCAGGAUUGGCGGGAGAAACUAGGAAGUUCCAGCUCCUCUGAGGGUGGCUGCGGUCUCAGCCCUCUGAGACAGGGCUGGUCCCUCCUCUUCCUGAGACCCGCUGUGGCUCCCCUGGGGCCAGUCGCCAGGAUGGGCGGGGCACCCAGAGGCAGACAGGAUUGCUUGCUUUCUGGGUUGAUUUUUCUUUCUUUUUAAAUUUUAUUUUAUUUUAUCUUUUUAAUUUUUUUUUUUUUUUUUGGCUGCCCCACAGCAUACGGAGGUCCCAGGCCAGGGAUCACAUCUGAGCCACAGGGGCAACCUAAGUUGCAGGUAUGGACUGACCUUUCUUGUAGGCCAGACGACAAGUGGGACGGGCAUUGGGGGGACUCUGAGGCUAGGUGGGGCCAGCCCUAUCCCAAUUUCCCAUCAAUAGUGUUCUCUUGCACAGAGACUGAGGAAGAACCGUGACUCACUUCCUCCCUCAGUCUGACUGUAGAACUAUUGUUCUCCCACUGUGGCUGGUGCUGCUGGAUGGGGCUACCCCAGGCUGGCCCCUAGGAGUCUGCUCCUUGUGGGAGGCAGUUCCCAUUCUGAGAAGGGGCCAACCGGACGUACCUCCCUAACCAACUUUCAGCACCCAUAUUCUUUUUUUUUUGUCUUUUUAGGGCCGCACCCGCAGCAUAUGGAGGUCCCCAGGCUAGGCGUUGAAUCGGAGCUGCAGCCGCCUGCCUACACCAUGGCCCCAGCAAUGCCAGAUCCAAGCCUUGUCUGUGACCUACACCACGGUUCAUGACAACGUCAGAUCCUUCAUCCACUGAGGGAGGCCAGGCGUCUUCAUGGAUGCUAGUCAGAUUCGUUUCCGCUGAGCCACAACAGGAACUCCAGCACCCCAUAUUCUUCCCUGUUUCCGGUUUUUGCACUAUUUGGACAGGUGCCCAAAUAGUACCUUGUCCCAUCGGUUGGAUAUUAUCUCCAUUUUACAGAAGGGUAAGUUGAGGCUCUGAGAAUUCAGUAACUUGUCUAAGGUGGCAUGGUAUAAAACACUGCCUUGGGGAUUUGAACUGGUGGCUGGUUGACUUGUCACCUAGUGAGUUACGUCAGGAACUUCUCUGGGUCUGUUUCCUCCUCUGUAAAAUGUAAAUAGGGACACAUGAAAGGUGCCUAAAGGAAUACUGUAUCCACUUUACAGGGUUUGGGGUAAGGACGAAAUAAGCUAACACACGCAAAGAGUUGAGAACUGCUCCUGGCUCAGAGGACACACUCUGAUGUUGUUUUUUUGUAGUUUUUUUUGUCACUAUCCCCAAACCAGUGUUGAGGAGGCCACAGGAUAAUACUGUGCUGCCAGGUUAUCUCAAAGGGAGCAUGAAGGGAUGGACAGAGACUGCUCUUUGACCUUGGAACAACCCAGCCUGGGGAGCCCUUGGCCCCAUUUCCCCUUUUCUUUCUCAGCUCAAGCAGUAGUGGCCUCCGCCAAGUCGCACAGACGUUUUCUAGGGCAGGGACCCAGGGAGGGAGAGAGGCCGGCUGGUUUAUUGCAAGUAGCUCAGAUUCAGGCUCUGCCAAAGCCCUACAUCUCUUCCAGGCUCUGAGGCCUGCUAGCUGUGGGACACUGGGCAAAUUAUUUAAACUUGGGGCACCUCAGUUUUCUUAUCUGCAAAACGGGGUUAAUAAAGUCAGUCUGAAAGGAUUACGUCGAUUAAAUAAUGUACAUAAGAAGGAGAUGCUACAAAGUGACUGCCCUGGUGCCUGGCAGGCGAUUAGUUAAAAAAAAAAAAAAAAAA